rnacentral:lncRNA from 1 species
CACAUGGAGGUUUCAUACGGGACUUAGAAAAAAUGUAGGCUACUAAAGGAAAGUUUCAGACCUUCCUGUAAAUGCCAUUUUCCUCAUUAUUGGGAAAUGAGGUCUCAGUGGGACCACUGAACCAGCCUUUGUAUUUACAAAAUAUGGUUAGGACGAGAUUAACAUCAUGCACUGAAGGAGUUUUUUGAAUCCAAGUAAGAGACUACUUUUUAUAAGGGAGUUGGCCCAGCCGGGCUGCCUCUGAGUCAAUUGGGCUGAGAAAUAAUUUGGAUGCCCACUGCCUGAGUCAAAUUUUCAGGUUUAAACAUACCUGAAAUGAUGCUGCUUAGUAGACUGCAGUGUCGGAUAAGCGUGCAUCUGCUCUCAAGUUGAAAAUACACAGGAAACCCAUCCCUCUUACCCCAUUCUUGAGGUUUGCUUGAGUCUGACCUUCUAGAAUCCUGGCUCCAGAGGUGACUCAACCCUGACCAAGUACAUAGUCCACAAUGCUUGGAUUCAGGGAUAAUCAGUGCACUGCCAAUUCAAGCCAAUGAGCCUCAAAUCUGGGACUCUUUGGAACUAUGUGAAAAAAGAAGCUUAUUCUACAGGGAAUGCUCACUGUACAUAAGAUUUAUGGCUGGAGUUUCCAGUGGCCAUACUUCUAUGUCAGGGGGAUCCACCGAAUGAAGGCAAACACAGAAUUAAGAGAAUUUUGGAGCCAUAGAAGACCCUGGUAACUCAAUUGAUAUGUCUGGAUACAGCCAAGCCAAGACAGAAGCCAGUGUUGCUGCUGGACUUUUCAAAUUGAGAACCAAUGAAUUAUUUUGUUAUGUUCUUAAGCCAAGUUGGAUAGAGCCUCCUGUCACUUACAGCAAAGAAUUCGGAUACCAUCUCUAUUUAGGGUGUCCCAGGUUUUCUCUAGAUACCUUAAAACGUGUUAUAAAAUUCUCAAAAUAUACAUAAAACCUAUAGAGAAUUCAUUUUAAAAUAGGAAUAUAUAAAGGGAAUACCAAUGUCAUUAAAUCCCAAAGUCAGUAACAGAACAGAGCAACUGAUUAGAAUGAGGAAUCGUUUGUUUCAUGCUGGCUGAUUCACUAACGCUUCGCUGUCUAAUACUGGAGCUCCAAGCCACCUGUGGCCACUGCCCACGGAGUGCAGGAACAGUGGUGGCUGGUCUGGAUGCAGGUGUGCUAAAGAUGUAAAGCACACAUUAGGUUAGAACUGACUACAAAAAGAAAAUGAAUGUAAACUCUCUCAUUAAUAAUUUUAAUACCGAUCACAUGUCAAAGAGACAACAUUUUGGAAGGAUUAGGUUAAAUAACAGAUAUUAUUAAAAUUAAUUUCACCUGUUUCUUUUUACGUUUUGUAAUAUGGCUGCUACACAAUUGUUAUGUAUGCCUCAUGUUAUUUUUCUAUUGAAUAGUGCUGCAUAAAAGCUGCAAUUGUUACAAGAUUCCACUGCAUGUUGAGCUCAAACCUUUAUUCCUGUCGCUCCUACCCUCGCUGGCUGUCCCUAUCUUGAGUUACUAUGGUCAAACUUGGAGAAUAAAAAUGGAAUCAAAUCCAUUUUUCACGGUACAGUCCCUCAGCUAUUUAAAGGCAGCUCCCACAUUCUUCUCAUAACUUCUUUUUUUCUAGGCCAAAUGCCCCACAUUUUCUUACUCUUCUCUGGACAUCUUUUGGUUUACCAAAGAUCCCUUAAAACGUGAUGCUUAGCAUUCUUCCUGGCAUACCAGUGUGGUCUCUUGGUAUUGAGGUUCUCACCUUCUUGGACUAGACACCCUAUCUCUAUUUAUGUGACCUUGUUGCCAUUAACAUCUUUGAAAACUAAAGCUGAUACCAGUGGUUUUCAAAAGUUGAUGCCCAAACUAGCAGCAUCAACAUCACCUGAGAAGUUGUUAGAAAUGUAAAUUCUCUGGCUCCUCCCAAGACCUCCGGAAUCACAAACACUGGGGUUGGUAUCCAGC